AAGGAUCAUUAUUGAAAUUAUAUUCUUACAUUGUGAAACACGUUUGCGUCUUUUUUGGACGCGUGGUGCUGCUGGUGGCUGCCGGUCUCUUGCAGAUCGGCGGUCGCGGGCGCGGGCGCAGUUCACGGGAGAUGCAAAACAUUUAAACCCCGUAUCACGUGCAGUCUAAUGAACAACACACAAUCAUAAAACAACUUUUAACAAGGGAUCUCUUGGCUCUC
rnacentral:misc_RNA from 1 species